AUUGAACGCUGGCGGCAUGCCUUACACAUGCAAGUCGAACGGCAGCACGGGAGCUUGCUCCUGGUGGCGAGUGGCGAACGGGUGAGUAAUACAUCGGAACGUACCCUGAAGUGGGGGAUAACGUAGCGAAAGUUACGCUAAUACCGCAUAUUCUGUGAGCAGGAAAGAGGGGGAUCGCAAGACCUCUUGCUUUAGGAGCGGCCGAUGUCGGAUUAGCUAGUUGGUGAGGUAAAGGCUCACCAAGGCGACGAUCCGUAGCGGGUCUGAGAGGAUGAUCCGCCACACUGGGACUGAGACACGGCCCAGACUCCUACGGGAGGCAGCAGUGGGGAAUUUUGGACAAUGGGCGCAAGCCUGAUCCAGCCAUGCCGCGUGAGUGAAGAAGGCCUUCGGGUUGUAAAGACUCUUUCGGUGGGGUAAGGAAAGUUAGCUUCGGUUAAUACCUGGAGUAGAUGACGGUACCCGCAUAAGAAGACACCGGCUAACUACGUGCCAGCAGCCGCGGUAAUCG
rnacentral:rRNA from 1 species